rnacentral:rRNA from 1 species
UUACCCGCUGAAACUUAAGCAUAUCAAUAAGCGGAGGAAAAGAAACUAACAAGGAUUCCCCUAGUAACUGCGAGUGAAGCGGGAAAAGCUCAAAUUUAAAAUCUGGCGGUCUUUGGCCGUCCGAGUUGUAGUCUGGAGAAGUGCUUUCCGCGCUGGACCGUGUAUAAGUCUCUUGGAACAGAGCGUCAUAGAGGGUGAGAAUCCCGUCUUUGACACGGACUACCAGUGCUUUGUGAUGCGCUCUCAAAGAGUCGAGUUGUUUGGGAAUGCAGCUCAAAAUGGGUGGUGAAUUCCAUCUAAAGCUAAAUAUUGGCGAGAGACCGAUAGCGAACAAGUACCGUGAGGGAAAGAUGAAAAGCACUUUGGAAAGAGAGUUAAACAGUACGUGAAAUUGCUGAAAGGGAAACGCUUGAAGUCAGUCGCGUUGUCCGGAACUCAACCUUGCUUUUGCUUGGUGCACUUUCCGGAUGACGGGUCAGCAUCGAUUUUGACCGUCGGAAAAGGGCUAGAGUAAUGUGGCACCUCCGGGUGUGUUAUAGACUCUGGUCGCAUACGGCGGUUGGGAUCGAGGAACGCAGCGCGCCGUAAGGCAGGGGUUCGCCCACUUUCGCGCUUAGGAUGCUGGCAUAAUGGCUUUAAACGACCCGUCUUGAAACACGGACCAAGGAGUCUAACAUACCUGCGAGUGUUUGGGUGGAAAACCCGAGCGCGUAAUGAAAGUGAAAGUUGAGACCCCUGUCGUGGGGGGCAUCGACGCCCGGACCUGACGUUCUCUGACGGAUCCGCGGUAGAGCAUGUAUGUUGGGACCCGAAAGAUGGUGAACUAUGCCUGAAUAGGGUGAAGCCAGAGGAAACUCUGGUGGAGGCUCGUAGCGAUUCUGACGUGCAAAUCGAUCGUCAAAUUUGGGUAUAGGGGCGAAAGAC